AUGUCACGGACCAUUCUCUAAGACAAUUAUCCCGAAUUCAUUUUACCAAGAAGGUAUUUUUGAUUUUUGAUAAAGAUCCCGUCUUUUCUAUAUAUUUUUUAAAUUUAAUCUAUCAUUUUAUAUCUCAAAAUUGGCAUGAGUUUAAAAUAUAUAUAAAAUAAAUAGAAUAGAAUAGUUAAAUAAAAUAAAAUAUUUUUAUAAAUAUUUUUAAAUAUUUAUAUUUUUAUUUAAAAUAUUUAAUAUCAUUUGUGAUAUUUUUUUAUAUUAUAUUAAUUUU
rnacentral:lncRNA from 1 species